UUCAUUUAUAUUUGGCGUAAAAAGCUAAUUGUAAGUUACUUGAAUUUCCAAAAAAAAAACCAAAAAGAGAAAAUUGCAUUAGUAGCUAUUUCUUGUUGACUUAAUAUGAUGUCAUAGCUGAAAGCCAGGUUACAGCCAAAAAUUUCACAAAUAUUUUUCAGACUAAAAUAUAUAGCACAAGUGUAGCCCAGAUUUUUUUUGUCACCAAUAAGAUAAUGCCAGUAUACUUAUUUUCUUCAUCUUAAUGUGAGUCAUAUUAAAAUAUUGUAAAUAAUUUAGCACUUUAUUAUAUUCCUUGUCA
rnacentral:lncRNA from 1 species